AACGAACGCUGGCGGCGUGCCUAACACAUGCAAGUCGAACGAGACCUUCGGGUCUAGUGGCGCACGGGUGCGUAACGCGUGGGAACCUGCCCUUAGGUUCGGAGUAACUCCCCGAAAGGGGUCCUAAUACCGGAUAAUGUCUUCGGACCAACGAUUUUUCGCCUUUGGAUGGGCCCGCGUUGGAUUAGCUGGUUGGUAGGGUAAAAGCCUACCAAGGCGACGAUGCAUAGCUGGUCGGAGAGGAUGAUCAGCCACACUGGGACUGAGACACGGCCUAGACUGCUACGGGAGGCAGCAGUGGGGAAUAUUGGACAAGGGGCGAAAGCCUGAUCCAGCAAUGCCGCGUGAGUGAUGAAGGGCUUAGGGUUGUAAAUCUCUUUUACCCGGGAUGAUAAUGACAGUACCGGGAGAAUAAGCUCCGGCUAACUCCGUG
rnacentral:rRNA from 1 species